CCAGGGAUCAGUCGAAACAGAAGUCAGAGUGGAACAAUAAAGAGACUGUGAAACACCGCUUCGAUUGUAAAAGAAAUUUCGAUUCGUGACACUCUGUUAACCUUUAUCGAUAGCUAAAGUUAGCGCAUACGAAAAAGUUAAGCAGUUACAGAAGAAUUUUGAUUUCAGAAAUCGACGUUAUAGUGUUUGGAUACAAAAACAAAACGUUCACCAUGCUCGAAAUGUUUCUGAGAUUACUACUAGUGUUUGUAAGUUUGUGGAUGGUAGCAAACGCGCAAGGCUGGUACAGCAGUUACUAUAGUUAUGGUGGUGAUGACGAUGGAUGGGACAGUUAUGAUUCAUACGGUGACUGGGGAGGGUAUGACGACUGAUCAAACACUUACUGGACAACUGAGUCUAAAAAGGACAGGGAUUCAAAUAAUGAAACAUCUUAGACAUGACUUGGCAUAAUGAAUGACCUUUUAAAUCACGAGUGCCACUUUUGUAUUAUUUAUUUAUAUUGAAAUAAAAAGAUGAUUAACUUA